UCCCUGGUAGUCCAGUGGUUAAGACUCCACGCUCCCAACGCAGGGGACCUGGGUUCGAUCCCUGGUCAGGGAA
rnacentral:tRNA from 1 species